UUUAUAAAUUCUUGCAGUGCUUCUCAUGUGAUUUUUUUUCUUUUUUACAGAACAGGAAAUAACCACUUGGCCCUGUUUCUGGUGGUUUUGCCUGUACCAGCAUGUCCUAUGCAAAUACAACCCAUGACAAACCUCAGAAUGUCAGGGGAAGAUGAAUGGCCUUGAAUAUUUUGAACAAUAUAAGGUCCGAAGAUCCAGACUGAUGAAAAGCCCAAAGCUGGUUGCGGACAGUCACCACUGGAUUCCCCUACAGAAGGCUGCAAACACAGCUGUGGAUUUUUACUAAAGUUACAAAGGGACAUGGAUGAAACUGGAAAGAAUAAUCCUCAGCAAACUAACACAGGAACAGAAAGCUAAACACCACAUGCUCUCAAUGGUACCAAGUCAAUCAAAGUGAAAUGGAGGGAAAACACUUCUGAAGAUUCAUCGGAGUUUAUCAACAAUGUCAGGUGCAUGCUUCUCAAAUAAAAACACAUGCCAAUGGAAAAACAAGCCAGCUACUAGGUUUGUAUAAAUGCAUCUAAUUUACAUCAUUUUAUAUAGAUGAUUCUACUCUUUUACACAGGUAUAUUUGACAAUUAGUACCAUCCCUUCCACAUACACACAAUUUAGCCAAAAUGACAUUCUGUAGGGGAUCUCUAUAAGCCCUCCAGUUGAUUCUUUUUCAGGCUAAAGUUUGAGAACUGUUGUGUUACUCUGGACUAAGCCUCUGAAAGUUUUGAUGACUUAAAUAUUUAUAUAUGUUAUGAAUGUAUAUGAAGGAUAUGAUUGCAUACUAUAGAUUACAAACAUUAUUACAUAGGCAAACUUCAUAGCAGAAAUAAAAAGAAAAUCCUAAGUGGAUUCUGCAUUGACUGACAAAGAAAACCUAUGCCAAUUUUUACAGAAUUCGUUUUUAUAAA